UUGGCCGACUGGGGUGUAAUUGUAAAAUGGCGCCCAGUGAAAUCUGAGUGGAAAAGAAAAGGGAACGUAAUAAUAGAGACCGUGAGAAAUCCAGGUCUAAAGGAUCACAGAGACAAUUUGUGACUCCAAUGCACAAGAAUAACGCUUCUACGGGCGUGUCCAAACAGUUAAGUUGGUCGGUCUGGGAGAAUUAGGUCAAGGCAGGGGUAGCUGCAGUUAACGUUACAGUAUCUGGAAUACUGAACUAAGGUUAUUCUAUCCACCGUAUUAUCUAUUUUGUACUUUCAUUGACAUGCCAUCUUCUAUUUGCUCAAAAGUUGCACAUUAUACCUGCUCGAGCAAAGAAACAAGCAAGACAUUCCAGUCGAGCGCAUGCCCUAACUGUUAGUAGUUGUUCGGAGCGGUGGUGGUGAUUUUAAUUCCUAUGAUUUGAAAAACUCCGAGCUUUUGAGGCAGCCGCUGAAUCCCGACCGCUCAGGCCAUCAAAUAUAACCCUUUCGCUUCUGAUGCCAAACGUUCCCUCCUUUGCAACAGACCAAAUGUUUUGCAACAGAGUUCGACUAAUGAAUACACCCCUGGUCGUACAGUACCGUUUCCGUUUAAUUCAACGUUGCACACUGUUCUGUCAUACUGAAAGCAACACUUGCUGGACAGGAAUCUAGAUCCUACUAUCUUCAACGCCCCUUCCCCAUCACCUCAAAGUAGCGAAUAGUAUGGAGGGCUCGUUUGAGGAGCUAGUGAGGCUGAAGGUCCACAGUGUCCCCCAGCAUCGGAUGGAGGACUUCCUGGAGUCCCUGACCAACAAGAGCUGAGAGGCACUGCAGGAGUUCAACCAGCAGGGGGUGUUACCGCCACCACAACCACCACCAUGGUUUACCAGCAGGGGGUCAACUGCAUCUACACAGACAGCAACGAGGUGGCUGGAUCACUGCUGGAACUGGCCUGUCCGCAACAGCAGGUACAGGUGUCCCAGCAGAAGGUGAUGUCAUGACAGCAGCAGCUCUCGCCCCAUAUGACCACAGCAAUGCUGCAAGGCCAAGACAUAAUACAGGUCAGGAGUUUUUCCUCGCUCUCAUUUCUCUCCCUUCUUUCUCCCUCAUCAUUCUGUCUCUGUCUCACUGCCACUCUCCUAAAAAGGAGUGGCAAUUACGAAAGUGCGUUCAGAAAGUAUCAGACCCCCUUGACUUAUUCCAGAUUGUUACGUUACAGCCUUAUUCUAAAAUUGAUACAAUUAUUUUUUCCCCUUAAAUCUACACACACUACCACAUUAUGACAAAGCAAAUACAGAUUUAGACUUUUGCAACAAACAAAAAAGUAAAUCACAUUUUCCCUUUACUCAGUACUUUAUUGCAGCCUCGAGUCUUCUUGGGUAUGACCAUACAAGCUUGGCACACCUAUAUUUGGGGAUUUUCUCCCAUUCUCUGCAGAUUCUCUCAAGCUCUGUCAGGUUGGAUGGGGAGCAUCGCUGCACAGCUAUUUUCAGGUCUCUCCAGAGAUGUUAGAUCAGGUUUAAGUCUGGGCUCUGGCUGGGCCACUCAAGGACAUUCAGAGACUUGUCCCGAAGCCACUCCUGUGUUGUCCUGGCUGUGUGCUUAGGGUCGUUCUUCUGUUAGGUGAACCGUUGCCGCAGUUGGAGGUCCUGAGUGCUCUGGAGCAGGUUUCCAUCAAGGAUCUCGCUGUACUUUGCUCAAUUCAUCUUUCCCUUCAUCCUGACUAAUCUCCCAGUCCCUGCCGCUGAAAAACAUCCCCACAGAUGCUGCCACCACCAUGCUUCACCGUAGGGAUGGUGCCAGGUUUCUUCCAGACGUGACACUUGGCAUUCAGGCCAAAGAGUUCAAUCUUGGUUUCAUCAGACUAGAGAAUCUUGUUUCUCAUGGUCUGGGAGUUCUGUAGGUGCCUUUUGGCAAAUUCCCAAGUGGACCGUUGUGCCUUUUAGUGAGGAGUGGCUUCUGUCUCGCCACUCUACCAGAAAGGCCUGAUUGGUGGAGUGCUGCUGAGAUGGUUGCCCUUCUGGAUGGUUCUCCCAUCUCCAUAGAGGAACUCUUGAGCUCUGUCAGUGACCAUCCGGUUCUUGGUCACCUUUCUGAUCAAGGCCCUUCUCUCCCAUUUGGCGGGGCGGCCAGCUCUAGUUAGUCUUGGUGGUUCCAAACUUCUUCCAUUUAAGAAUGAUGGAGGGCACUGUGUUUUUGGGGACCUUCAAUGCUGCAGACAUUUUUUGGUACCCUUCCCCAGAUCUGUGCCUCGACACAAUCCUCUCUCGGAGCUCCCAAGUUGUAGAAACAUCUCAAGGAUGACCAAUGGAAACAGGAUGCACCUGAGCUCAAUUUCAAGUUUCAUAGCAAAGUGUCUGAAUACUUAUGUAAAUAACAUUUCUGUUUGAAAUUUUUGCUAAUUUAUUUAAAAAUAUAUAUAAAAACACUUUUUACUUUGUCAUUAUGGGGUAAUGUGUGUAGAUGAAGAUUUUAAUUAUUUAAUCCAUUUUAGAAUAAGGCUGUAACCUAACAAGAUCUGGAAAAAGUCAAGGGGUCUGAAUACUUUCCGAAUGCACUGUAUUUCUGGAUAUUUGUUUUGCUGGUGUUAACCAGUCUUGCUCACUAUUACUUGUUUCUCUUUGUCAUGAUUAUGCCUCUGUUGCAGUUUCUUCCUUUUUUUCCCCUCUUUCACUUUCGUGAUUGUUUUCCUGACCUGAGUAUUGCCCAGCCGUGAACAGGUAUAUGGAGUCGCCUGAAAGUUCACACUCAGGAUGUACUUUCCUCUCUGUUUUUCCAGCCAGCUUUGCAUUACUGGACUGAACAGACCUGUGAUGACCUCAUUGAGCUGGCUGGAGGCACAGUGAAUGAUGCUCAGGCCAUUGUGCCCCCCUUAACGACUAUCACCACAGUGGCAGUGAAUGACUUGCAGACCUUUGGCCUCUCUGACCAGGGUUGUGUUCAACUGGAGCAAAUGGGAGAAAACACUUUGAAAACAGAGGUGCCACAUGAAUUUGUCAUUUAGGAACACUGAUUUUGGCUUUCUGUUUGAAAAUGUUUUUUUUUCAAGCCAGGCUUACAGUCAUGGUUGACAAACCACUUUUUAAUAUAUAUAUUUUUUUUUUAAUCGACCACAACACAGCUACCAUAGGAGGGAGUCUAACAGCACUAAUGACUGAUGAAAGGUGAGCAUGUCUUGGGGUAUGAUAUUUGUGCGUCAUCAACGAUUCAUUCAGGAUUAUCCGUAAGCAUGGUAGCAUCCACAUGAAUGUAUACGUGUUUAGAAACAUUAUAUUCUUAUUUACAAGACUACAUUAUUUCCCAUUGAUGUGUUUGGAUUUCUGAGCUUUAACUAUUAUUAAUCAUUCGUUAUAAUAGAGACAUGUCUAUCGGGCACAAAAUAAUCUGAAACAACCAAAACAAACAGCAAAUGCAGCCAACAAAUGUGUAGUCACAAGCUUGAUGUGCUAUGAAUAUGGAACCAAAUAUGUACAAAAAGUGCUCUAAUUUCUAAACCGUUCACCUGAUAUGGAUGAAAAUACCCUCAUAUUAAAGGCUUUAACCUCCA